rnacentral:rRNA from 1 species
AGUGAACGCUGGCGGUAGGCCUAACACAUGCAAGUCGAACGGCAGCACAGUAAGAGCUUGCUCUUACGGGUGGCGAGUGGCGGACGGGUGAGGAAUACAUCGGAAUCUACUUUUUCGUGGGGGAUAACGUAGGGAAACUUACGCUAAUACCGCAUACGACCUACGGGUGAAAGCAGGGGAUCUUCGGACCUUGCGUGAUUGAAUGAGCCGAUGUCGGAUUAGCUAGUGGGCGGGGUAAAGGCCCACCAAGGCGACGGUCCGUAGCUGGUCUGAGAGGAUGAUCAGCCACACUGGAACUGAGACACGGUCCAGACUCCUACGGGAGGCAGCAGUGGGGAAUAUUGGACAAUGGGCGCAAGCCUGAUCCAGCCAUACCGCGUGGGUGAAGAAGACCUUCGGGUUGUAAAGCCCUUUUGUUGGGAAAGAAAAGCAGCAGGUUAAUACCCCGCUGUUCUGACGGUACCCAAAGAAUAAGCACCGGCUAACUUCGUG